rnacentral:rRNA from 1 species
UACGUAGGGUGCAAGCGUUGUCCGGAAUUAUUGGGCGUAAAGAGCUCGUAGGCGGUCUGUCGCGUCGGCUGUGAAAUCCCGAGGCUCAACCUCGGGUCUGCAGUCGAUACGGGCAAACUGGAGUGUUGCAGGGGAGACUGGAAUUCCUGGUGUAGCGGUGAAAUGCGCAGAUAUCAGGAGGAACACCGGUGGCGAAGGCGGCAUCCUGGACCGAGAUUGACGCUGAGGCGCGAAAGCCAGGGGAGCAAACGGG